rnacentral:rRNA from 1 species
GUCGAACGGCAGCAUAGGAGCUUGCUCCUGAUGGCGAGUGGCGAACGGGUGAGUAAUAUAUCGGAACGUGCCCUAGAGUGGGGGAUAACUAGUCGAAAGACUAGCUAAUACCGCAUACGAUCUACGGAUGAAAGUGGGGGAUCGCAAGACCUCAUGCUCCUGGAGCGGCCGAUAUCUGAUUAGCUAGUUGGUGGGGUAAAAGCCUACCAAGGCGACGAUCAGUAGCUGGUCUGAGAGGACGACCAGCCACACUGGGACUGAGACACGGCCCAGACUCCUACGGGAGGCAGCAGUGGGGAAUUUUGGACAAUGGGGGCCACCCUGAUCCAGCAAUGCCGCGUGAGUGAAGAAGGCCUUCGGGUUGUAAAGCUCUUUUGUCAGGGAAGAAACGGUAGUAGCUAAUAUCUAUUACUAAUGACGGUACCUGAAGAAUAAGCACCGGCUAACUACGUGCCAGCAGCCGCGGUAAUACGUAGGGUGCAAGCGUUAAUCGGAAUUACUGGGCGUAAAGCGUGCGCCGGCGGUUGUGUAAGUCAGAUGUGAAAUCCCCGGGCUCAACCUGGGA